rnacentral:rRNA from 1 species
CUGUCCCGCCGCCCCCGCCCGUGGCGUGACGGGUGAGUAACACGUGAGUAACCUGCCCUUGACUCUGGGAUAAGCCUGGGAAACUGGGUCUAAUACCGGAUAUGACCAUUCCACGCAUGUGGUGGUGGUGGAAAGCUUUUGUGGUUUUGGAUGGACUCGCGGCCUAUCAGCUUGUUGGUGGGGUAAUGGCCUACCAAGGCGACGACGGGUAGCCGGCCUGAGAGGGUGACCGGCCACACUGGGACUGAGACACGGCCCAGACUCCUACGGGAGGCAGCAGUGGGGAAUAUUGCACAAUGGGCGCAAGCCUGAUGCAGCGACGCCGUCGUGAGGGAUGACGGCCUUCGGGUUGUUAAACCUCUUUCAGUAGGGAAGAAGCGAAAGUGACUUGUACCUGCAGAAGAAGUUGUCG